CCCUGUCAAGGAGAAUGAUCUUUAACCUGGGAGAGGCAGAAAAAAAACGAACAGGGAUUUAGCCACCAACAUGAGGAAAGAGAUAUUUGAAGAUCCUAACCUGUUGGCUAAGAACAACUAAUUCCCAGAUUUUUAAUGGAAUCCUGAAUAUGAUCCUUCUGUCAAAGGAUGUAAGUGAAGAACAGUCAUCCUGUUUUAGGACUGGACAUCCCAGCUUCAACUUAAUGGAAAUAAGGGUCAGACCAUCCUUGAAGACCUAUUCUGCUCACAAAUAUCAAGAUACCCACUAGACCAUGGAAUACCCUGUGGAUUUUAUUAUGAUUCUGUGACUCCUUUCAUGAGGAAGACACUGCAAUGACGGAUAGAACACUCAUAGCAACACGAAAGGGAAACAUUCAAAUGUCUUCUCUACUACUCUCCCGAUUGUUACUUUCCAAAGAGGCUGUGAUCCUCCUUCCCCAGAGUGAUAUGAAGCCAGUACCAUCCUUGAAUGAUGACUGUGGGGCAUACUUAAGAGUUAGCUCUUGAAGUUGAACCCUAAGUCCUAAGGGGCUUUGCGUGACGUGGAGGUGCACUUAACAGUAGUACUUGUUUGGGAGGACAUAAUCUUCCUCACAUAAACAUUUUUAUACACACACUCGCUUCCCAGAGUAGGGAGAUUUUGGUGACUGGAGGCCCAAAGUACCAGUCAGUGUGAAACUGGAAGUUGAGGAUUGUAAAAGGGGCCUAUUGAGAAUAUACUGAACUGUUCAAAAUCAAUUUUUUGAUGAAACAUUACAGUGCAUGCAUGGAGUAUCAUUGUCUACCCUCUGAAUCAAAUUGGGUACUGCUUUGUACCUGUUUGGGAAUUCAGGAGACCAGAAGUUACUCCUGGAUGAAGUUCGUUUUUUUCCUGGUUCACCUGGACCACUAAUGAUUAAGAAAACUUUAGGAAGUUAGUAAUCACAAGUUACACUAAGCAUGAACACCUCUCGGUUUUCCUGAACUGUCCUCCUUGAGAGGCUUGAAGGUCAUUUCUGUGUUUGUGGACACUUGUGUUGAACUGAAAUGUGGAAGAUGAAGAAACCAUGGAUCAAAGGUUACUUCUCUGUUCCUUGGACACUUUUACUGAACUGCAGAAGGUAAACCAGGAGUUGGUUUCUUCCCAGAUUUCCUAGAUAAACUUUUCAUUGUUCUUACAGAAUUUUUUACAGUCUUUGAGAAUACCUUCAGGUCAGCCAGCCUGAAGGAACAUGUGCUUACACUGGAGGUUGCUUGUGUUGUUUGUUUGCUAUGAAGAACUGGAUGUCUUGGAUCAGUUUUGUUUGCUACCACCUCCCAGAACUUUAUUGAAAGCCCUUUCUCAUCAAUGUAAGGGUAGCAGAUGUUUGUUACAAAGGUCCUCUGAGGUGACCUUAAUGGAUACUCCCUUGAAAGUUGGGAAAAAAUAAACCCUUACCAGGUGAAUAAAACAAUGUCACCAAACUAGGUGUUAUGGAAAU